AAAUUGAAGAGUUUGAUCAUGGCUCAGAUUGAACGCUGGCGGCAGGCCUAACACAUGCAAGUCGAACGGUAACAGGAAGCAGCUUGCUGCUUUGCUGACGAGUGGCGGACGGGUGAGUAAUGUCUGGGAAACUGCCUGAUGGAGGGGGAUAACUACUGGAAACGGU
rnacentral:rRNA from 13 species